GACGAACGCUGGCGGCGUGCCUAAUACAUGCAAGUCGAACGAGAGCGACCGGUGCUUGCACUGGUCAAUCUAGUGGCGAACGGGUGAGUAACACGUGGGUAACCUGCCCAUCAGAGGGGGAUAACAUUCGGAAACGGAUGCUAAAACCGCAUAGGUCCUUUAACCGCAUGGUUGAAGGAGGAAAAGAGGCGCAAGCUUCUGCUGAUGGAUGGACCCGCGGUGCAUUAGCUAGUUGGUGAGGUAACGGCUCACUAAGGCCGUGAUGCAUAGCCGACCUGAGAGGGUGAGCGGCCACAUUGGGACUGAGACACGGCCCAAACUCCUACGGGAGGCAGCAGUAGGGAAUCUUCCGCAAUGAACGGAAGUCUGACGAAGCAACGCCGCGUGAGUGAAGAAGGUUUUCGGAUCGUAAAACUCUGUUGUUAGAGAAGAACGAGUGCUCGAGUAACUGUUAGCACCUUGACGGUAUCUAACCAGAAGGCCACGGCUAACUACGUG
rnacentral:rRNA from 1 species